rnacentral:rRNA from 1 species
UCAGGAUGAACGCUAGCGGCAGGCUUAACACAUGCAAGUCGAGGGGCAUCGGGAGUAGCAAUACUGCCGGCGACCGGCGCAAGGGUGCGUAACGCGUGAGCAACAUGCCCGUAUCAGGGGGAUAAUCCAUGGAAACGUGGUCUAAUACCCCAUAGUAAUUAUGUAAGGCAUCUUAUAUAAUUUAAAGCUUUGGUGGAUACGGAUUGGCUCGCGUGACAUUAGCUGGAUGGUAAGGUAACGGCUUACCAUGGCUACGAUGUCUAGGGGUUCUGAGAGGAAGGUCCCCCACACUGGAACUGAGACACGGUCCAGACUCCUACGGGAGGCAGCAGUGAGGAAUAUUGGACAAUGGAUGGAAAUCUGAUCCAGCCAUGCCGCGUGCAAGGAAGACGGCCCUAUGGGUUGUAAACUGCUUUUGUAUGGGAGCAAUAAGGGCUACGUGUAGUCCGAUGAGAGUACCAUACGAAUAAGCACCGGCUAACUCCGUGCCAGCCGCCGC